UACAGAGGUCUCAAGCGUUGUUCGGAUUCAUUGGGCGUAAAGGGUGCGUAGGCGGCGCGGUAAGUCGGGUGUGAAAUCUUGGAGCUUAACUCCGAAACUGCAUUCGAUACUGCCGUGCUUGAGGACUGGAGAGGAGACUGAAAUUUACGGUGUAGCGGUGAAAUGCGUAGAUAUCGUAAGGAAGACCAGUGGCGAAGGCGGGUCUCUGGACAGUUCCUGACGCUGAAGCACGAAGGCCAGGGGAGCAAACGGG
rnacentral:rRNA from 1 species